UUUUUGAAAAAACUUCAAAUAUUACCCUUAUAGUUUUACACUUUCUCACUUUAUACAUUAUGGUUUAAAGUGUAUCAAUUUAGUGCCAUAUGAUUUUAUUUUUAUUUUUUUAUUAUCAAUUUCACUAUUUUUUUUGUUAAAUCAGUGAGAAAGUUAAAACUUAAGGAUGCUAAAGUAAAUAUUUAAUAAACUUAAGUAGGUAUCUGAAGUUUUUUAUAUAUAACUUAAUGAAAUAUUAACGAAAUUACUNCUAACGAAAAUAUAAAAAGAAAACCACAGAACACUAACUUGAUAUACUUUAAACCACAUGGUACUAAAAUGAAAAAGUGUGAAACUAUAUGAAUGGUAUUUAAAGUUUAUCUUUUUUUUUAUUUUUUUUUUUUUUUGACGAAUUAGAACGGAAUAUU
rnacentral:lncRNA from 1 species